AUUGAACGCUAGCGGCAUGCCUUACACAUGCAAGUCGAACGGCAGCACGGACUUCGGUCUGGUGGCGAGUGGCGAACGGGUGAGUAAUGUACCGGAACGUGCCCAGUAGCGGGGGAUAACUACGCGAAAGCGUAGCUAAUAUCGCAUACGCCCUACGGGGGAAAGCAGGGGAUCGCAAGUCCUUGCCGGAUUUGAUCGGCCGAUUUCGGAUUAGCUAGUUGGUGAGGUAACGGCUCACCAAGGCGACGAUCCGUAGCUGGGUUGAGAGGCCGACCAGCCACACUGGAACUGAGACACGGCCCAGACUCCUACGGGAGGCAGCAGUGGGGAAUUUUGGACAAUGGGCGAAACCCUGAUCCAGCAAUCCCGCGUGUGCGAUGAAGGCCUUCGGAUUGUAAAGCACUUUUGGCAGGAAAGAAACGUCGCGUGUUAAUACCUCGCGAAACUGACGGUACCUGCAGAGUAAGCACCGGCUAACUACGUG
rnacentral:rRNA from 1 species